AUUGAACGCUGGCGGCAGGCUUAACACAUGCAAGUCGAGCGGAAACGAUGAUUGCUUGCAGUCAGGCGUCGAGCGGCGGACGGGUGAGUAAUGCUUGGGAAUAUGCCUAGAGGUGGGGGACAACAGUUGGAAACGACUGCUAAUACCGCAUAAUGUCUACGGACCAAAGGGGGCUUUUAGCUCCCACCUAUAGAGAAGCCCAAGUGAGAUUAGCUAGUUGGUGAGGUAAAGGCUCACCAAGGCGACGAUCUCUAGCUGUUCUGAGAGGAAGAUCAGCCACACUGGAACUGAGACACGGUCCAGACUCCUACGGGAGGCAGCAGUGGGGAAUAUUGCACAAUGGGGGAAACCCUGAUGCAGCCAUGCCAGCGUGUGUGAAGAAGGCCUUCGGGUUGUAAAGCACUUUCAGUUGUGAGGAAAGGUUAGUAGUUAAUACCUGCUAGCUGUGACGUUAACAACAGAAGAAGCACCGGCUAACUCCGU
rnacentral:rRNA from 1 species